AUUGAACGCUGGCGGCAUGCCUUACACAUGCAAGUCGAACGGCAGCACGGGUGCUUGCACCUGGUGGCGGGUGGCGAACGGGUGAGUAAUACAUCGGAACGUACCUUAUCGUGGGGGGUAACGCAGCGAAAGUUGCGCUAAUACCGCAUACGCCCUGAGGGGGAAAGCGGGGGACCGUAAGGCCUCGCGCGAUGAGAGCGGCCGAUGUCUGAUUAGCUUGUUGGUGAGGUAAAAGCUCACCAAGGCGAUGAUCAGUAGCUGGUCUGAGAGGACGAUCAGCCACACUGGGACUGAGACACGGCCCAGACUCCUACGGGAGGCAGCAGUGGGGAAUUUUGGACAAUGGGGGCAACCCUGAUCCAGCAAUGCCGCGUGAGUGAAGAAGGCCUUCGGGUUGUAAAGCUCUUUUGUCAGGGAAGAAACAGCAGCUCUAACACAGUCUGCGAAUGACGGUACCUGAAGAAUAAGCACCGGCUAACUACGUGCCAGCAGCCGCAGUAA
rnacentral:rRNA from 1 species